AAAGACUGACGCUCAUGCACGAAAGCGUGGGGAUCAAACAGGAUUAGAUACCCUGGUAGUCCACGCUGUAAACGAUGAUCACUCGUUGUUGGCGAUAUACUGUCAGCGACUGAGGGAAACCAUUAAGUGAUCCACCUGGGGAGUACGGCGGCAACGUUGAAACUCAAAGGAAUUGACGGGGGCCCGCACAAGCGGAGGAGCAUGUGGUUUAAUUCGAUGAUACGCGAGGAACCUUACCUGGGCUUAAAUGCAGGACGACGUUUCGUGAAAGCGGAAUUUCCUUCGGGACGUCUUGCAAGGUGCUGCAUGGUUGUCGUCAGCUCGUGCCGUGAGGUGUCGGGUUAAGUCCCAUAACGAGCGCAACCCUUAUCAUUAGUUGCCAUCAGGUCAUGCUGGGAACUCUAAUGAAACUGCCUACGCAAGUAGUGAGGAAGGUGGGGAUGACGUCAAAUCAGCACGGCCCUUAUGUCCAGGGCGACACACGUGCUACAAUGGCCAGUACAGAGGGUUGCGAA
rnacentral:rRNA from 1 species